UAGUCUGGGAAACUGCCUGAUGAGGGGGGAUAACUACUGGAAACGGUAGCUAAUACCGCAUAAUGUCGCAAGACCAAAGUGGGGGACCUUCGGGCCUCAUGCCAUCAGAUGUGCCCAGAUGGGAUUAGCUAGUAGGUGGGGUAAUGGCUCACCUAGGCGACGAUCCCUAGCUGGUCUGAGAGGAUGACCAGCCACACUGGAACUGAGACACGGUCCAG
rnacentral:rRNA from 1 species